UUGCUUUCAAUUCUGGAGAAGCAAGCAACUAUUGAUGCUCUAACCUUUUUCCCCCCCCCUAGUUUAGAUUUUAUUACAACCCCAUUCUUUCUGGAAAGGUUUUUGAUUCAGAUUUUGCAGUAAUGCUGUGUGGGGCUUUUUACUUUUUAUUGUGCACUUACUUGUGGGCAGUAAGGUAAAUCUUACUUCCUGACAAAGGAUAAACAAGAUAGGGGGGGAAAAAAACUGGAUUUUCACUGCUGGUAGGAAGAAAAGUGAUGCAACAUCGUCGCUUUUCAGAGCAGUGAUGGAUGCUCAUCCUGUGAGAACAUGUAGAAGUGGUUCUGGAAACUUUGGCUGUGGGAGGACUCUUCUAAGCGAGUCUUCUCAGAGAAACGUUUCAGGACCUCUAGCCCUGGCUCCCCUCAGCAGACCAGACUUCUGACGUGGCCUCACUCCGUUGGAUCCCCU